rnacentral:tRNA from 1 species
GCCUUGAUGGUGAAAUGGUAGACACGCGAGACUCAAAAUCUCGUGUUGAAGAGCGUGGAGGUUCGAGUCCCUCUUAGUCA